UACGUAGGGGGCAAGCGUUGUCCGGAUUUAUUGGGCGUAAAGAGCGUGUAGGCGGCUUUACAGGUCCGUUGUGAAAACUCGAGGCUCAACCUCGAGACGCCGGUGGAAACCGUAAGGCUAGAGUCCGGAAGAGGAGAGUGGAAUUCCUGGUGUAGCGGUGGAAUGCGCAGAUAUCAGGAGGAACACCAAUAGCGAAGGCAGCUCGCUGGGACGUUACUGACACUGAGGCGCGAAAGCGUGGGGAGCGAACAGG
rnacentral:rRNA from 1 species